GGGCUCAGCAACCUACCCUCCACUUCCCUUCCCCCCACGCCUCCGCCCAACACACACGCACACACAGUCCAGCCUCCCACCGGACACCUAACCUCAGUCCCCCCUGCAGCGCCAGGAGGAAUAAGUCAGGAGCUUUGACAACAGUGGUUCUCAAACUCCAGUGUGCCCCAGAAUCAACUGGAUGGUUUAUUAACACUGAUUGCUGGGCCUCAUCCUCAGAGAUACUGAUUC
rnacentral:lncRNA from 10 species